CGUGUAGGCGGCCUUUUAAGUCUGAUGUGAAAGCCCGGGGCUUACCCCCGGAAGUGCAUUGGAGACUGGGAGGCUCGAGUACCGGAGAGGAGGGUGGAAUUCCUGGUGUAGCGGUGAAAUGCGUAGAUAUCAGGAGGAACACCGGUGGCGAAGGCGGCCCUCUGGACGGAUACUGACGCUGAGACGCGAAAGCGUGGGGAGCAAACAGGAUUAGAUACCCUGGUAGUCCACGCUGUAAACGAUGGGCACUAGGUGUUCGGGGUAUUGACCCCUGAGUGCCGCAGCUAACGCAUUAAGUGCCCCGCCUGGGGACUACGGCCGCAAGGUUAAA
rnacentral:rRNA from 1 species